UCAGUCGACUCCUACGGGGAGGCAGCAGUGGGGGAAUAUUGCACAAUGGGCGCAAGCCUGAUGCAGCCAUGCCGCGUGUGUGAAGAAGGACCUUCGGGUUGUAAAGCACUUUCAGUCGUGAGGAAGGUAGUGUAGUUAAUAGCUGCAUUAUUUGACGUUAGCGACAGAAGAAGCACCGGCUAACUCCGUGCCAGCAGCCGCGGUAAUACGGAGGGUGCGAGCGUUAAUCGGAAUUACUGGGCGUAAAGCGCAUGCAGGUGGUUUGUUAAGUCAGAUGUGAAAGACCCGGGGCUCAACCUCGGAAUUGCAUUUGAAACUGGCAGACUAGAGUACUGUAGAGGGGGGUAGGAAUUUCAGGUGUAGCGGUGAAAUGCGUAGAGAUCUGAAGGAAUACCGGUGGCGAAGGCGGCCCCCUGGACAGAUACUGACACUCAGAUGCGAAAGCGUGGGGAGCAAACAGGAUUAGAUACCCUGGUAG
rnacentral:rRNA from 1 species